UGGGGAAUAUUGCACAAUGGGCGCAAGCCUGAUGCAGCCAUGCCGCGUGUGUGAAGAAGGCCUUCGGGUUGUAAAGCACUUUCAGCGAGGAGGAAGGUGGUGAACUUAAUACGUUCAUCAAUUGACGUUACUCGCAGAAGAAGCACCGGCUAACUCCGUGCCAGCAGCCGCGGUAAUACGGAGGGUGCAAGCGUUAAUCGGAAUUACUGGGCGUAAAGCGCACGCAGGCGGUUUGUUAAGUCAGAUGUGAAAUCCCCGGGCUCAACCUGGGAACUGCAUUUGAAACUGGCAAGCUAGAGUCUCGUAGAGGGGGGUAGAAUUCCAGGUGUAGCGGUGAAAUGCGUAGAGAUCUGGAGGAAUACCGGUGGCGAAGGCGGCCCCCCUGGACGAAGACCGACGCUCAGGUGCGAAAGCGUGGGGGAGCAAACAGGAUUAGAUACCCUGGUAGUCCACGCUGUAAACGAUGUCGAUUUUGGAGGUUGUGCCCCUUGAGGCGUGG
rnacentral:rRNA from 1 species